rnacentral:rRNA from 1 species
GACGAACGCUGGCGGCGUGCCUAAUACAUGCAAGUAGAACGCUGAAGGAGGAGCUUGCUUCUCUGGAUGAGUUGCGAACGGGUGAGUAACGCGUAGGUAACCUGCCUGGGAGCGGGGGAUAACUAUUGGAAACGAUAGCUAAUACCGCAUAAGAGUAGAUGUCGCAUGACAUUUGCUUAAAAGGUGCAAUUGCAUCACUACCAGAUGGACCUGCGUUGUAUUGGCUUGUGGGUGAGGUAACGGCUCACCAAGGCAAAGAUACAUAGCCGACCUGAGAGGGGGGGCGGCCGCACUGGGACUGUGACCCGCCCCAGUGUCCUACGGGAGGCAGCAGUAGGGAAUCGUGGGCAAUCGACGGAAGUCUGACCGCGCAACGCCGCGGGAGUGUAGAAGGUUGUCGGAUCGUAAAGCUCUGUUGUAAGAGAAGAACGAGUGUGAGAGUGGAAAGUUCACACUGUGACGGUAUCUGACCAGAAAGGGACGGCUAACUACGUG